rnacentral:rRNA from 1 species
AGGUUAAUGAGGCGAACCGGGGGAACUGAAACAUCUAAGUACCCCGAGGAAAAGAAAUCAACCGAGAUUCCCCCAGUAGCGGCGAGCGAACGGGGAGCAGCCCAGAGCCUGAAUCAGUGUGUGUGUUAGUGGAAGCGUCUGGAAAGGCGCGCGAUACAGGGUGACAGCCCCGUACACAAAAAUGCACAUGCUGUGAGCUCGAUGAGUAGGGCGGGACACGUGGUAUCCUGUCUGAAUAUGGGGGGACCAUCCUCCAAGGCUAAAUACUCCUGACUGACCGAUAGUGAACCAGUACCGUGAGGGAAAGGCGAAAAGAACCCCGGCGAGGGGAGUGAAAAAGAACCUGAAACCGUGUACGUACAAGCAGUGGGAGCACAGAGCAAUCUGUGUGACUGCGUACCUUUUGUAUAAUGGGUCAGCGACUUAUAUUCUGUAGCAAGGUUAACCGAAUAGGGGAGCCGAAGGGAAACCGAGUCUUAACCGGGCGUUAAGUUGCAGGGUAUAGACCCGAAACCCGGUGAUCUAGCCAUGGGCAGGUUGAAGGUUGGGUAACACUAACUGGAGGACCGAACCGACUAAUGUUGAAAAAUUAGCGGAUGACUUGUGGCUGGGGGUGAAAGGCCAAUCAAACCGGGAGAUAGCUGGUUCUCCCCGAAAGCUAUUUAGGUAGCGCCUCGUGAAUUCAUCUCCGGGGGUAGAGCACUGUUUCGGCAAGGGGGUCAUCCCGACUUACCAACCCGAUGCAAACUGCGAAUACCGGAGAAUGUUAUCACGGGAGACACACGGCGGGUGCUAACGUCCGUCGUGAAGAGGGAAACAACCCAGACCGCCAGCUAAGGUCCCAAAGUCAUGGUUAAGUGGGAAACGAUGUGGGAAGGCCCAGACAGCCAGGAUGUUGGCUUAGAAGCAGCCAUCAUUUAAAGAAAGCGUAAUAGCUCACUGGUCGAGUCGGCCUGCGCGGAAGAUGUAACGGGGCUAAACCAUGCACCGAAGCUGCGGCAGCGACACUGUGUGUUGUUGGGUAGGGGAGCGUUCUGUAAGCCUGUGAAGGUGUACUGUGAGGUAUGCUGGAGGUAUCAGAAGUGCGAAUGCUGACAUAAGUAACGAUAAAGCGGGUGAAAAGCCCGCUCGCCGGAAGACCAAGGGUUCCUGUCCAACGUUAAUCGGGGCAGGGUGAGUCGACCCCUAAGGCGAGGCCGAAAGGCGUAGUCGAUGGGAAACAGGUUAAUAUUCCUGUACUUGGUGUUACUGCGAAGGGGGGACGGAGAAGGCUAUGUUGGCCGGGCGACGGUUGUCCCGGUUUAAGCGUGUAGGCUGGUUUUCCAGGCAAAUCCGGAAAAUCAAGGCUGAGGCGUGAUGACGAGGCACUACGGUGCUGAAGCAACAAAUGCCCUGCUUCCAGGAAAAGCCUCUAAGCAUCAGGUAACAUCAAAUCGUACCCCAAACCGACACAGGUGGUCAGGUAGAGAAUACCAAGGCGCUUGAGAGAACUCGGGUGAAGGAACUAGGCAAAAUGGUGCCGUAACUUCGGGAGAAGGCACGCUGAUAUGUAGGUGAAGUCCCUCGCGGAUGGAGCUGAAAUCAGUCGAAGAUACCAGCUGGCUGCAACUGUUUAUUAAAAACACAGCACUGUGCAAACACGAAAGUGGACGUAUACGGUGUGACGCCUGCCCGGUGCCGGAAGGUUAAUUGAUGGGGUCAGCGCAAGCGAAGCUCUUGAUCGAAGCCCCGGUAAACGGCGGCCGUAACUAUAACGGUCCUAAGGUAGCGAAAUUCCUUGUCGGGUAAGUUCCGACCUGCACGAAUGGCGUAAUGAUGGCCAGGCUGUCUCCACCCGAGACUCAGUGAAAUUGAACUCGCUGUGAAGAUGCAGUGUACCCGCGGCAAGACGGAAAGACCCCGUGAACCUUUACUAUAGCUUGACACUGAACAUUGAGCCUUGAUGUGUAGGAUAGGUGGGAGGCUUUGAAGUGUGGACGCCAGUCUGCAUGGAGCCGACCUUGAAAUACCACCCUUUAAUGUUUGAUGUUCUAACGUGGACCCGUGAUCCGGGUUGCGGACAGUGUCUGGUGGGUAGUUUGACUGGGGCGGUCUCCUCCUAAAGAGUAACGGAGGAGCACGAAGGUUGGCUAAUCCUGGUCGGACAUCAGGAGGUUAGUGCAAUGGCAUAAGCCAGCUUGACUGCGAGCGUGACGGCGCGAGCAGGUGCGAAAGCAGGUCAUAGUGAUCCGGUGGUUCUGAAUGGAAGGGCCAUCGCUCAACGGAUAAAAGGUACUCCGGGGAUAACAGGCUGAUACCGCCCAAGAGUUCAUAUCGACGGCGGUGUUUGGCACCUCGAUGUCGGCUCAUCACAUCCUGGGGCUGAAGUAGGUCCCAAGGGUAUGGCUGUUCGCCAUUUAAAGUGGUACGCGAGCUGGGUUUAGAACGUCGUGAGACAGUUCGGUCCCUAUCUGCCGUGGGCGCUGGAGAACUGAGGGGGGCUGCUCCUAGUACGAGAGGACCGGAGUGGACGCAUCACUGGUGUUCGGGUUGUCAUGCCAAUGGCACUGCCCGGUAGCUAAAUGCGGAAGAGAUAAGUGCUGAAAGCAUCUAAGCACGAAACUUGCCCCGAGAUGAGUUCUCCCUGACCCUUUAAGGGUCCUGAAGGAACGUUGAAGACGACGACGUUGAUAGGCCGGGUGUGUAAGCGCAGCGAUGCGUUGAGCUAACCGGUACUAAUGAACCGUGAGGCUUAACCUU